CGCGCUGAACUUAAGCAUAUCAAUAAGCGGAGGAAAAGAAACCAACUGGGAUUGCCCCAGUAGCGGCGAGUGAAGAGGCAACAGCUCAAAUUUGAAGUCUGGCUCCUAGGGUCCGAGUUGUAAUUUGCAGAGGAUGCUUUUGACAAGGUGCCUUCCGAGUUCCCUGGAACGGGACGCCAUAGAGGGUGAGAGCCCCGUCUGGUCGGAUACCGCGUCUCUGUAAAGCUCCUUCGACGAGUCGAGUAGUUCGGGAAUGAUGCUCAAAAUGGUAGGUAUAUGUCUUCUAAAGCUAAAUAUUGGUCAGAGACCGAUAGCGCACAAGUAGAGUGAUCGAAAGAUGAAAAGCACUUUGAAAAGAGGGUUAAAAAGUACGUGAAAUUGUUGAAAGGGAAGCGCCUAUGUCCAGACUAGGGCCCGGUGAAUCAUCCAGCGUUCUCGCUGGUGCUCUUUGCCGGGCACAGGCCAGCAUCAGUUUGGCUUGGGGGAAAAAGGCUUUGGGAACGUAGCUCCUCGGAGUGUUAUAGACCAUUGCAUAAUACCCUGGGCCGGACUGAUGAUCGCGCAUCCGCAAGGAUGCUGGCGUAAUGGUCAUCAGCGACCCGUCUUGAAACACGG
rnacentral:rRNA from 1 species